rnacentral:rRNA from 1 species
AUUGAACGCUGGCGGCAGGCCUAACACAUGCAAGUCGAGCGGAGCGGCGGACGGGUGAGUAAUGCCUAGGAAUCUGCCUGGUAGUGGGGGAUAACGUCCGGAAACGGGCGCUAAUACCGCAUACUAUCAGAUGAGCCUAGGUCGGAUUAGCUAGUUGGUGGGGGAAAGGCCUACCAGGUCGACGAUCCGUAACUGGUCUGAGAGGAUGAUCAGUCACACUGGAACUGAGACACGGUCCAGACUCCUACGGGAGGCAGAAGUGGGGAAUAUUGGACAAUGGGGGAAAGCCUGAGCCAGCCAUGCCGCGUGUGUGAAGAAGGCCUUCGGGUUGUAAAGCACUUUCAGCGGGGAGGCGUUACCCGCAGAAGAAGCACCGGCUAACUCCGUGACAGCAGCCGCGGUAAUUC